UGCCUUUAUGUGUUGCCCUUUCAUUGCUUUCUUAGUGACAGGGGUGUCAAAUAAGGCAUACAGUGACACUUGUGGCUGUCAGUGAAGUGAGUUUUAACUGACUCCUUUACUCAAACUGCUGUAAGGACACAA